UUAUUAAAAACAUGGCUUUUUGAUAAUAAUUUAAGGUCUGACCUGCCCUAUGAAGUAAAAUUUAAAUGGCUGCGGUAUAUUGACCGUGCAAAGGUAGCAUAAUCAUUAGUUUUUUAAUUGAAAGCUGGAAUGAAAGGUUUGAUGAGAAAAUUACUGUCUCUAUUUAAAUUUUUUAGAAUUUUAUUUUUAAGUUAAAAAGCUUAAAUUUAUAUUGAAGACGAGAAGACCCUAUAGAGUUUUAUAAUUGUUUAUAUAUUUGAAGUGUAAGUAUAUAAUGGUUAGUAUAAAAAUAAUUAUUUGGUUGGGGUGAUAGAAAAAUUAAAUUAACUUUUUUUGUAAAAAAACAUUAAUAUUUGAGUAUUUGAUCCUUUAUAUUGAUUAUAAGAUUAAAUUACCUUAGGGAUAACAGCGUAAUUUUUUUUAAGAGUUCAAAUCAAAAAAAAAGAUUGCGACCUCGAUGUUGGAUUAAAAUUAAAAAUUGGUGUAGAAGCUAGUUAGUUAAGUCUGUUCGACUUUUAAAAUUUUACAUGAUCUGAGUUUAAACCGGUGUAAGCCAGGUC
rnacentral:rRNA from 1 species